rnacentral:lncRNA from 1 species
GAGUCUUGGUGCUCAGUCCACGGGACUCCGCGGACACGCAGGGGUCCGCAGGGUUAUUUGUACUGCCUCCGGGAACACCAGUCUGCCUGGUUCCGUCCCUACCCCACUGGGAGGCCUCGGUCAUGUUCUCCAGGGCCCAGGUGAGGCGAGCUCUUCAGCGAGUGCCCGGCAAGCAGCGAUUCGGCAUCUACAGAUUCCUGCCCUUCUUUUUUGUCCUGGGAGGUGCGAUGGAGUGGAUCAUGAUUAAAGUGCGCGUGGGCCAGG